rnacentral:rRNA from 1 species
UGGGGAAUUUUGGACAAUGAGCGCAAGCCUGAUCCAGCAAUGCCGCGUGCAGGAUGAAGGCCUUCGGGUUGUAAACUGCUUUUGUACGGAGCGAAAAGGUCUGCCCUAAUACGGUGGGCUCAUGACGGUACCGUAAGAAUAAGCACCGGCUAACUACGUGCCAGCAGCCGCGGUAAUACGUAGGGUGCGAGCGUUAAUCGGAAUUACUGGGCGUAAAGCGUGCGCAGGCGGUUAUAUAAGACAGAUGUGAAAUCCCCGGGCUCAACCUGGGACCUGCAUUUGUGACUGUAUAGCUAGAGUACGGUAGAGGGGGAUGGAAUUCCGCGUGUAGCAGUGAAAUGCGUAGAUAUGCGGAGGAACACCGGUGGCGAAGGCAAUCCCCUGGACCUGUACUGACGCUCAUGCACGAAAGCGUGGGGAGCAAACA